CUCCACUGCUGGGGAGUUAUUGCUUAUACCUUGAACCCACUCUGUCUGCCUCGGAUCCUCUACCCCCGGGCCGGUGGGUGCGUACGUAUUCUCACACUCCCAUCCCGAUCGAUCAAUGCAAGAACAGGAAUCCUAGCACUGGAGGAGUUUACACACACACAUAAAAUAGUCACGACGAGCAGUUUUUAUAUGGAAUUCUCUACAAAAAGUUAAAAUAAACAAAGGAAUAAUAAGUUUGUGGUAUUCCUCUUCCAUGUAUGGCUCUCGCCGGCCGGCGCCGAGGCUGGACCGCUGCCCAUGCAGCCCUUCGCCCCUACCAGACGCUGCCGUCAAACACAUGGCUAGACGAUCGAUGAGCUUUUUGGUCCAAAUGCCACGCAGUUCUUUCCUGCUGUCUGCAGACGUACGCAAUUAUAUGCCGGCCGCGCGCCGGAAGGCGCGAUCGCACGCAGCAGGUACGGUGAAACUCCGGUGAGCCCGACCCAUGAAUGCUCGAUUGAUCACACGACCGCGCCCUUUUGGUGGCCCCGCCGGCGUCCCCUCAGUCUGGGCUCUGGCCUCUGGGGUUAGGAGUACCGUCGGGUUCGAUCCAUGUCGUUCUGUGUCUUAAUUGGCCACACGUACUGUUGUACUGUUGUUGCCUCACACACUGAACCUAUAUAUGGGUUCGAUCGAGUAGUGCAGGGAAGGCGUUACGUUUGCGUGCAUAGAUCCUCCCCGCGCGUAGAGAUUUUACUGUUUGUUUCUUGCACAUUGAACAUAGAGAGAAGCAUGUUGUUAAUUAAUUUUGAUUGGCACGUGCAAGUUUC
rnacentral:lncRNA from 7 species